UGUCCAGCAACUUCUAUCCCUACCUCCGCGUGGUACCGGCUGGAAACUACGAGCGUCAAGCAACCUUAGGGAAGA
rnacentral:ribozyme from 1 species